GGAGGCGGACAGGCAAUCGCGGUCCAGUUUCCAGGAUCGAGGAAAGUCCGAACUCCACAGGGCAGUGUGCCUCGUAACGCGAGGGAGGGGCGACCCUACGGAAAGUGCCACAGAAAAUAUACCGCCCUCAUCACUGGGGGUAAGGGUGAAAAGGUGCGGUAAGAGCGCACCGCGUUAUUGGCAACAAUGACGGCAGGGCAAACCCCACACGGAGCAAGGUCAAAUAGAAAAGCGAUCCCGAAAGGGAUUAAGGAUGGCCCGUCCGAUGCUUUUGGGUAGACCGCUAGAUCCCGGGAGUGAUCCCGGGACCAGAUGAAUGAUUGCCGUCUCUGCUUCGCAGGGAAACAGAAUUCGGCUUAUGGACGCCUCCGACG
rnacentral:RNase_P_RNA from 1 species